ACAGGCGUGAGCCACUCUGCUCACUUCUUUAUGCCUGAAAUGUCCUUACCCAAUAUUCCAUCCUCUAUCUCCUUUUCACCAAACUCUUUUCUCCCUUUUAAAAGCAUAGAGAACACUGUCCAUUGUGUUCUACCACAUAGAUUUAUCAAAGCUAAGCAUUUUGCCUUAUUUACUCCAACUUUUCUUUAAGAAAUAAAGCACUGUAAAUACAGUUGAACCUCCUUCUUCAAUCUCAUCCCCUUCUCUUUUUCUUCAGAUGCAUCUGUUAUCUUGCUUUUGGUGUUAACCAUUCACAUAUAUAUAUUUCAUAUUUUUAAUUGGGAUUUUGAAAGCCCCCCCCUACUGGUGACUGUCAUGUUUUAGCCUAGAUGAAGAGUCUUCCAAAGUCCAGAGAGGUCAAGACUUGCAUGAGGUCACUUAGCAAGGUAAGACCAAGAUAGCUCACGAGCCCAGGACUCUGUCUCUUAGUUCAUGUUUUCCCAAUACACCAUGGUGCAUCUUUUAAACAAUGUGUAUAGAUCCUUUUGCAGCUCAUAAGUGUGAUGAUUGGGUUUUCACACUCAUGUGUAAGAUGUGUUUCCCUCAAACCUUGCUAUGAUAUCAGCACAGUACCUAUCUGACAUGAAAAACAUAAAAUAUUUUUAAAUGGGCUGGGUGCAGUGGCUCACGCCUGUAAUCCCAGCGCUUUGGGAUGCCAAGGCAGGUGGGUCACUUGAGGUCAGGAGUUCGAAACCAGCCUGACCAACAUGGUGAAACCCCGUCUCUACUAAAAAUACAAAAAUUAGUUGGGCAUGGUUGUGGGUGCCUGUAAUCCCAGCUACUCGGGAGGCUGAGGCGGGAGAAUCGCUUGAACCUAGAAGACGGAGGUUGCAGUGAGCCAAAAUAGCGCCACUGCACUCCAGCCCGGGUGACAAAGCUGGACUUCAUCUCCAAAAAAA
rnacentral:lncRNA from 10 species